GCCCGGUUAGCUCAAUCGGUAGAGCGUGAGACUCUUAAUCUCAAGGUUGCGGGUGAGUUGUUCCUGAAUGAUUCAGGACGCAAAAUGCGGUCGACAACUAAUACUAACAACCUCGACAGGUUCGACCCCCGCAUCGGGCU